rnacentral:rRNA from 1 species
CAGAGACCUCAAGCAUUAUCCGGAUUUAUUGGGCGUAAAGCGUCCGCAGGUUGUCGAGUGUGUCAGAGGUUAAAGCUCAACGCUUAACGUUGAGAUUGCCUUUGAAACUACUCGACUAGAGGGUGGAAGAGGUAAGCGGAAUUCUCAGUGUAGUCGUAAUAAGCGUUGAUAUUGAGAAGAACACCAAAUGCGAAGGCAGCUUACUGGUACACACCUGACACUCAGGGACGAAAGCGUGGGGAGCAAACAGGAUUAGAUACCCUGGUAGUCCACGCCCUAAACUAUGCAUACUAGGUAUUGGCAGUAUCGACCCUGUCAGUGCCGUUUAAAAAAGCUAACGCGUUAAGUAUGCCGCCUGGGGAGUACGGCCGCAAGGCUA